GACGAACGCUGGCGGCGUGCUUAACACAUGCAAGUCGAACGGAAAGGCCCUGCUUUUGUGGGGCGCUCGAGUGGCGAACGGGUGAGUAACACGUGAGUAACCUGCCCUUGACUUUGGGAUAACUUCAGGAAACUGGGGCUAAUACCGGAUAGGAGCUCCUGCUGCAUGGUGGGGGUUGGAAAGUUUCGGCGGUUGGGGAUGGACUCGCGGCUUAUCAGCUUGUUGGUGGGGUAGUGGCUUACCAAGGCUUUGACGGGUAGCCGGCCUGAGAGGGUGGCCGGCGACAUUGGGUCUGAGAUACGGCCAAGACUCCUACGGGAGGCAAGAGUGGGGAGUAGUGCACAAUGGGGGGGAGCCUGAUGUAGCGACGCCGGGUGCGGGAUAACGGGCUUCUGGGUGUAAACCACUUUCGCCGGUAACGAAGCGUGAGUGACGGUAAUGGGUAAGGAAGGACCGGCUAACUACGUG
rnacentral:rRNA from 1 species